rnacentral:tRNA from 1 species
GCAAUGGUUGUUCAGUGGUAGAACUUCUGCCUUCCAUGCUGGAGAUUCAGGUUCGAUGCCCAGCCAAGGCA